rnacentral:rRNA from 1 species
CCCUUAGAUGUCCUGGGCCGCACGCGCGCUACACUGAGUGUCUGAGAUACGAGUCUGCCUGGUCCGGCAAGGUCUAGGUAAUCGCUAAAAGACACAUCAUGCUUGGGAUAGAUUAUUGCAAAUAUUAAUCUUGAACGAGGAAUUCCUAGUAAGCGCAAGUCAACAGCUUGCGUUGAUUACGUCCCUGCCCUUUGUACACACCGCCCGUCGCUACUACUGAUUGGAUGUUUAAGCGAGGUUCUCGAACUGCUAGCGACUUAGCUUCGGUGAGGUCGCAGCGUGGGAAGUGAACCUAGCUUUGGUGUCUAGAGGAAGUAAAAGUCGUAACA